rnacentral:lncRNA from 1 species
UUUACGAUCAACUUUUCGAUCUCCACCCCUCCGGCCGGAGGUGGUGAAGGCGCUCUGCUUUUCUUUAAUUUUUAUUUCUUUUUCCGGUUUCACUCCUCGCGAUUAUGUUUUUAAAUCGGAGCCGAUCUGGUGGCGAUCCUUGCUCCUCAUAUGCUGCAUGUUUUGGUUGGUGGUUUCUCGGAGGCGGUGGCUCUUCUGCAGUCCCAAAACUAUGGGAACGGAUCCGGGUCUUCGUCUCCUCGGUGUUUACUUCAGCCCUCUGUGGUGUCUUUUCUUCUUGUCAUCGGUUGAAGUAGGGUGGAGUGUUCGUCGGCGUUGUUGUCGAUUGAAGAUGGUGGCGGUGAUGCUUGAGGUGGAGUUUGUUUGACUCACCGGCCCUGAAUUGUAAGACCCCGCUUUGGGGACGACGUGGUACUUGAACAGAGGGCUAGUGGUGGCGUUUAAGUUCUAGAACUGAUCUCCUUACUCUCCUAUUCUCCUUUUGUUGUGCUUUUUCAGGCAUUUCUCCUCCUCAUAACUUUGUCAGUGGUCUUUUAACGCUCUUCGGUGAUUUGUCUCCAGUGAAGAUCAAUGUGGUGGUUUCUUCCCAGUCCAAUUUCUCUGGCGCCAUUCGUGGCAUCUACAGUUUUGGUGAGGCGAUGUUAGAGUUUCAUGUCUAAAGAUAGACAGCUUGUAGGAUUUUUCAGCUCUACUUUGUAAAGCAAUCAGACCCAUUUUUUGGGUUUUUUGGUAUGCUUAUUUUUACUUCCUUUAAAUUUUGAAUCUGUUUCUUUUGUAGUCUUCAAAAAAUUCUCAAAUAUUUUAAUAUGAAAGUCCUUAAAAAAAUUAUAAACAAUAUGAUUAUGAUAUUUGGAUUGUCAUGAAAAUUAGUAAAUAGUUUUACAAUAAGAUUUUGG